AUCGCUUCUCGGCCUUUUGGCUAAGAUCAAGUGUAGUAUCCGUUCUUACCAGUUUAAUAUCUGAUACGUCCUCUAUCCUUAUCCCUUUUAAAAGUGUUUAAGGUCCAGAAGAUGUAGCCUCCAAUUAACUGGGUCAGGCUUCCUAGCUCAGGGGUGUCUUCGAGGUUCCCCCAC
rnacentral:snRNA from 1 species